rnacentral:rRNA from 1 species
GAUGAACGCUGGCGGCGUGCCUAAUACAUGCAAGUCGAGCGAACAGACGAGGAGCUUGCUCCUCUGACGUUAGCGGCGGACGGGUGAGUAACACGUGGAUAACCUACCUAUAAGACUGGGAUAACUUCGGGAAACCGGAGCUAAUACCGGAUAAUAUAUUGAACCGCAUGGUUCAAUAGUGAAAGACGGUUUUGCUGUCACUUAUAGAUGGAUCCGCGCCGCAUUAGCUAGUUGGUAAGGUAACGGCUUACCAAGGCAACGAUGCGUAGCCGACCUGAGAGGGUGAUCGGCCACACUGGAACUGAGACACGGUCGAGACUCCUACGGGAGGCAGCAGUAGGGAAUCUUACGCAAUGGGCGAAAGCCUGACGGAGCAACGCCGCGUGAGUGAUGACGGUCUUCGGAUCGUAAAACUCUGUUAUUAGGGAAGAACAAAUGUGUAAGUAACUAUGCACGUCUUGACGGUACCUAAUCAGAAAGCCCCGGCUAACUACGUG